rnacentral:lncRNA from 1 species
UGCUAUUCACCUUCUCAUCCUUCACAUGUUUUUUUACACGAAAUAUGAAUAAGCAGGAACACAUAUUCCAUAAACCGUGUCCAUGUACAGUGAAUAUAUCUGCAACGUCACUAUCAACAGGGUUUACAUUUUGCAGUUUCACGACACAUCAAAACAAGUAGACUAACGUAACACUAUUAGCUACUUUGAGAGUUUGUUUUUCUUUUGAAAAGAAGGAUACCGGGCCUUUCCAUCUAGACGAUGCAUGCAAUUAUUUUAUUAGUUAUUCAUAAAAUCCUUACAAAGCAAUAUAUCAACAAGUGUGAAGCCACCAUAUUAGCAACAUCUAUCGCUACUCUUAUUCACUUGAUGAAGGAGUGCCGAUAGUCCGAGCCGAAUAGCAAACAAACCUCACACAAAAGUCUAACAUCUAAACACGGGGACACUGACCAAUCCGCUUGCCUGGUCUGCGGCACACACCAACCCGACACACUCUCAGAGUCCGCCACGACCGUCUUCCACAGAUCCAUCUUCAGAGAAGGUACUCAUGCAUCGAUAAUGACAGGCCUGCCGUCGAGGCCACCAUGAUGCGAGACAAUGCCACCUCCCUACGCACGUC